rnacentral:rRNA from 1 species
AUACGUAGGUGGCGAGCGUUGUCCGGAAUCACUGGGCGUAAAGGGCGCGUAGGCGGUUAAUUAAGUCAGGUGUGUAAACCGCAGGCUUAACCUGAGGAUUGCACCUGAUACUGGAUAACUUGAGUGCAGGAGAGGGCAGUGGAAUUCCUAGUGUAGCGGUGAAAUGCGUAGAUAUUAGGAGGAACACCAGUGGCGAAGGCGGCUGCCUGGACUGCAACUGACGCUGAGGCGCGAAAGCGUGGGGAGCAAACAGGAUUAGAUACCCUGGUAGUCCACGCCGUAAACGAUGGGUACUAGGUGUAGGAGGUAUCGACCCCUUCUGUGCCGGAGUUAACACAAUAAGUACCCCGCCUGGGGAGUACGGCCGCAAGGUUGAA